GCCAAAAUGGCUGCUACCCUUGGCCAAGAGCAGAGGCUGAGCAGAAGAAUGGGUUCUGACCAUGACCACAUUCAAGUCUUCUCUGGCUUCUAUACUAGAAGAGUGAAUACCGGUGCCCGAUCAAGCAGUCAAGCCCUCCCCAGCAGGGGUACCAUUGGGUUUUUAAUCCUCGUGUGAAUCAUUGUGCCUCCCUCUGAGUGGUCAGGAGCUGGACUUCACAUCCUGAUAUGAUUGGCUAAUUUAGUGCACCACAGCUGGAGCUGAAGGAAAAAACCUUUCUGUCGUACUUGGACAUGGGACCUCUCUAAAGUGAAAUUCCAACUGGGGCUCCAGUUAUACGGGAAAUAUAUGAAGAUGUAAUGGCUGCUGGGUCAAGGAGACUAGCCUGAGAAUGUACAGGAACGUGUGAAUGGAUUUCUGUGACGUGACUGCAGCUAUCUCCCCUACACGCAUAUGCUCAUGGGGUGGAUACUACAUCACAUUAGAGACCUCCCUCCCUGUUGUGAGAUGAUAAACAGAGACGAAAUCACUGGCUUGCAAGAGGACGUUAACUGGAACUCCACUAAGCCCGAGGAACCUAAAAUAAUCUUGGAAUCUGAAAUUCCCACAGUGCAUGAGUGAUGUCCGAGACACACUCCAGGGAAGACAGUGCCAAGAAGAGUUCCACGAGAUGGACCAUCAUAUGGAGAUGCACACCUGCAGGAUGACUGGAGAGCCAUCUGGGGUCUUCCAGGUCUGUGGCCACGAUGAUGACGUCCCAUGAACAGUCCCCACUGAGCUGAAGGGCUGCUUCAUUUACAAAUAGCUAUUUUAAAGUGAAUGGCUAAUAUCCGACCCCAAGGCCACCGUAACAUGACCUACUAAUGAGGAAACUCAGAGCCAAGGCAGUAAGAACAAAUCCACCCAGUGAGAGGACCAGUGAGCUGUUUUCCACAGUGUGGGAGGGUAGCACAAUGCUAAGAGCCCUCACCUUAGGAUUUCACUGACAUACGAGCAGUGACCUGUGGCCUUGCCAUGUGACAGACAGCAGUGGUGGAGCAGGUUAUUGAAAGGAUACCCAAGUUGCGUGUAGCCCUGUGGAACUCAUUAUUGGCACCUGAAGAACCCUUCUAAAAUCAAUGAUCGAGUACGUUCAGCAGGUGUGUGUCCUAGGGGACUCAAAUGAGGUGCCCCCCGGGGUUUGACAAGUGGGAGCACUUGGAGAACUGCAGCUGAGCAGAGGUGGGCUGCUUGUGAGUGAGUCUCUUGCAUCUUCUGGGGUACAAAAUGCCCUUAAUAACUCUCUUGUCAAGGCAGGUAUAACAGUGCUCCCUGUGCUGGGAAGGCAGACAGGAGAAUCCCUGGGGCUUAUUGGCUAAGCCAGUCUAACUGAACAGGUCAACUCUGGGUUCAGCAAGAAACCUUGUUUCAAAAAAUAAGGUGGCCUGGGGAUAAAGGUUAGUGAUAGAACAUUUGCCAAGCACACUCAGGGACUUAGAUUCAAUCCCCAGUACUGCCAACAUGACAAUCACAUGGGAAAUAGUUGAGGAGACAUUCAACAUUAAUCUCACACAAGUGCAUACAUGUACACACACAUGUGCACACACACAAGAACUCUCCUUUCUGAUAGCAGAGACAGAAACUACAGAGAGAUACAGGACAGAUUCCUAAGGGAAACUCCCUACCACAGCUGAAAAUGGAAUACAUGGAGGCCAUGCUAGUUACCCCUUGUUGGAGCUAUAACCUGGUUCUGGCAGGAACAAACACAUUGCACUGGACUUUUCAUCGUGAACCAUAGUUGAAAAUGUUAAAAGUGUGGUAAAAAGUACCAACAGAAGAUAACUGUGUCAUUUUAUACUGUGAAGUUACAUUUCUACAGACCAAGAGGCACACUUCACAGACCACAUGAAGCAAAGAUAGCGUAUCAAAUGGGUACGUCCUGGUGCACAUAAUCCUCAGAGUGGUAAUUCAUUAGAGAAUUGAAACGAGAAUGGAAAAAUAUGUUCUCUCUCUUUUUAAAAAAAUAUUUAUGUAUAUGAGUGACCUGUCUUCACACACACCAGAAGAGGGAAUCAGAUCCCAUUACAGAUGGUUGUGAGCCACCAUGUGGGUGCUGGGAAUUGAACUCAGGACCUCUGGAAGAGCAGCCAGUGCUCUUAACCACUGAACUGUUUCUCUAGCUCCAAUUUGUUCUCUUUUUAUUUUUAGUAAAUAUUUAUUUAUUUUGUAUGUCAAGGGGGAAGACACACAAGCGGCGUCACACAUGUGGAGGUCAGAGGACAACUUGUAGGAGUCAGUUCUCUGCUUCCACCGUGUGAAUCCUUGGCAUCAAACUCAGGCCAUCAGGUUUGGCGGCCUGUGUUUUUACCCUUGAGCCAUCUCACUGGCUUAUGAGAUUGGGGAGUUGUAUCCCCUUUCUCCUGUUAGGGGCUGUGGUAGUUUGAAUGUCAUUGGCCCCCAUAAGCUCAUGUGGAGUGGCACUAUUAGGAGGUGUGGUUUGUUGGAAUAGGUGUGACCUUAUUGGAGGAAGGGUGUCAUUGUGGAGAUGGGCUUUGAGGUCUUAUAUGCUCAAGAUAUGCCCAGUGCCUCAGAUCACUCCCUGUUGCCUUAGGUCAAGAUGUAGGACUCUUAGCUCCUUAUCCAGCACCAUAUCUGCCUGAAAGCCAUCACAUCGCACCAUGGUGAUAACGGACUAGAUCUCUGAAAAUGUAAGCUGCUGAAAAAUUAAGUAUUUUUCCUUUAUAAGAGUUGCCAUGGGGCCAGGCCGUGGUGGCACACGCCAUUAGUCCUAGCACUUGGGAGGCAGA